rnacentral:rRNA from 1 species
UAACGUAGACGAAAGUUACGCUAAUACCGCAUAUUCUGUGAGCAGGAAAGAGGGGGAUCGCAAGACCUCUUGCUUUAGGAGCGGCCGAUGUCGGAUUAGCUAGUUGGUGAGGUAAAGGCUCACCAAGGCGACGAUCCGUAGCGGGUCUGAGAGGAUGAUCCGCCACACUGGGACUGAGACACGGCCCAGACUCCUACGGGAGGCAGCAGUGGGGAAUUUUGGACAAUGGGCGCAAGCCUGAUCCAGCCAUGCCGCGUGAGUGAAGAAGGCCUUCGGGUUGUAAAGCUCUUUCGGUGGGGAAGAAAUUGCACAGGAUAAUACCUUGUGUAGAUGACGGUACCCGCAUAAGAAGCACCGGCUAACUACGUG